ACUACUGUGUAAAGUUCCACCAAAAUAGUGGGAGUUACGUAGAAUAUAAGUCUGGGUUAGGCACCAGGCUCUCUGUGGUUCUCCAGUGUCCAGAAGAUCCAGGGAUUUCCAUUUUCUUCUUUGUGACUGUCUUGCUGGGGCUGAAAGCACUGUUGCUACUCAACAUCUUGACCAUCUAUAUAAUAAGGAAAAGAAGAAUAUAAAGAAGAGGAAAGAACUGGACAGUCCUAGAAUCUACAGUGAUACUUUCCAAAGACUACAAGAAGAUCAGCUCAUGCUUCCAGAGAUCACAGUUCAUGGACCUUCCCCAUCAAACCUCUAAGAGGAUAUUCAGCCCAAGCUCCCUCCCAGAGUUUCCUGUCAGCCUAUUCGUUUGUAAUUCCUUUUAAAAGUUUAUAUUGACAUAUUUCACUUCUAC